GGCAACUAGAAAUGGCCACGGAUGUUAACUAACUCCCUCCUCAACAGUCUGAGAAAAGGGAAAAAAAAACUCUCUGACUUCUGGUUGUUCUGGUCUCAGAAAAACGGACUUCGAGCUAGUGACCCCGAUAUUCCAAUCUUAUUUCUAAUGAGGAUUACUGACAGAUGCAACGGUUAUGGGACUGAUUAUGGCAUAGCAGGAACAGGUCCGAGAAAUCCUGGUGGCUUAAUGUGGCUUCAUGAUACUGGACAAACUCUCAAUUCCAAAGGAAAAAAAAAGAGUUGCAUACAAAAAUUGCAGCUACACAGAAAGUGAAGUCUGAGGAGGUUAAAAGAGAACUUGGACAUGAGAAAGAGGUCCCUGGAUAACAGGAGUGUUGCUGCCAGAAUCAUUGUAAUUAAGAUUGUGUCAUUGUUCCCCUUAUAAAUGUUAACUCUUAUGGGGUUUACAAUUCAGCUAAAAUGAUCAACUCUAGGAUGAAACACAGCUCCAAAUGUCUUAGAGUAGGAAGUGUUUUUUCCCUCCCUGUUUCUUAAAAGAGAAAACAUAAAGCAACUCCUCAGAAAUUUCAAUGACAUUGGAUUCUAACUGCAUACCUUUCCCAAAAAAGAGCAGGUCCUAAAUAAGGAGCCUAAUGUACAGUGAGCUGAGGUAAACAACAUUCACUGUGGAAUGAAGGACAUUAGCCUGGUAUAUGAAUGAGCAAUAAAAUAAAAGGGUAUCCUAUUAUUUUGAAAGGUUUAAUGUACAUCACUUGGAUAGAUAUUUCCUUCCAUUUUAUUGAUCUGAAUAGGAUUUGGGCAAUGCUGUGUUGAAAAGUCUUUCGCUCUUGUUUGCUAGCUAGAAACACUUAACAAUGAUAGGAGCCAGGAAUUCUGAUGGUUUCCUUAGAUCUCUUUCCUCAUACACCCAUUUUAAGGGUGGGCACUGGAUAAUCAGUAAUUUUUUAAAACCCAUUGUUCCUAUUUCUCUGGCAUUGGCCCUGGUGUCUAAUGGCUGCAGUAGGAAGUCACAGCAGUGAGGAGGGACAGGGGGAGGAAGUCACAGACACACAUUAAAAUUAAUAGGCGAGGAGGAAACUAGCCUUUAUUUAGUACAUCUUACAUGCCACGUACUUCAUUAACAUUAUUCCAUUCGAUGCAAACUCCCUGUGAAGUAAAUAAGAUUGGCUUAAGUUUUGGAGAUUACCAACCUAGUUGCAGGGCUGUGAGCUAACCUGCUUAAAGAACACAGAGCUAAUUAAAAAGUUGUGGAGGUGAGGAUCAGGACCUGUUUGACUCUCAGGCCCACAGGUACUGGAAAGCACCACAAAGCCAGGAGCAGAAUAUGAAGUCAUCUAGCCAAAAAAAAAAAAAAAGAAAAAAAACCCCUUCAUACCAGUGAUGAGAGCUACCACAUGCUCUAAGUAGGAGGUGAGAAGGGUAAAUGACUCCUAAAAAGAAACAGGGUUUUGCUUUGCUCUUUGUUCCAAUAAAUCCCUGUUUUCUAAAUGUAUAUUUGGAAAAUCCUUUUUUUGGUCAUAGAUAAGAAAAUGUAUAAUUUCCUGGGAACCUUUAAAUCAGACAUUUGAGUGUUUAUAAAAAUCCCUUUAAAGAUUUAUACUAAAUAAGUAGAUAAUAGUUUAAAAAUAUAAUGCAUAUCAAAUGAGAUGAUUAAAACAUAACAAUUCAAUGACUGUGUAUAUGUGUGUAUAUGGAUAUAUAUGAUAUGUGUGUAUGUGCAUGUAAUUCUUUCCUCACCAAAAUUUCUGGUAAUGUACUAUAUAUGGUGCUUGACGAAAGCUAAACAAUAAAUAUUUUAAGGCAAGAGAAAAAGAAAGAACAAAGAAAGAAAAGACGAGUGUGCGUGUGAGAUGUACUAUUCUCAAGACCCCUGGGACAUGUUUCAAAUAUGUUUUUAAAAUCUUAAUUUGGUGCAGCACUUUACAACAAAGUAAUAGUAGCCAAACAGAUUUGAAAGGAUGAAUUAAUAUUCUUUAGGUAGCACACAUUUAUUCCUCAACUUUUAAUACAUCCUUUGUUUUGUCCUUCCCUCCUCUUCCGCUUUAAGUCUAAAUUUGAUUGGGAGCAGGAAGGAAGAAAUACUAACUUCUGGCUUAGCAGAAGCACGAAAGAGGAGAGAACUAGAGCAUCUUCCUGGCCUUCUUUUCUCAUCCUUAUAAGGAAAAGCUACAGUAAACUAAACAACAGAAAAAAUAAACAACAACAACUUUGACAGUUUUGCUCAGGCAAAAGCAAGAUUCGUAUCUGCACAACUUCAAGGACUUUCUUCAAAUUUUAGCUUCUCUGCAUGGUCUUACAACAAAGCCAAAGAAGAGAUGCGAUCUGUUUAAGGAAACAGAUGAGAUUUGAGGGAAAAUAGGAGGCACUCCUUAUUUUUGAAUAGUAUUUAAAUGCAUGACCAAGAUAUAACUUGCAACGUUAAAAAAAAAUUACACAGUUAACUCAAACCUGCUAAAAAUAACUCACAAUACCCUCUCCACUAAAACAAAACAAAAUAAAGCAAAAACUCACAAACAAUUAUUUUGACUGGUUAAAAACAGUGACAUGAAAGUAACAGAUGGGAGAGCCCAGUUUUACUCACACAACACACUCACUAAACACAAUUGCAAGCGUCCCCACAAAAAUAACUCAACAAUGGUG
rnacentral:lncRNA from 1 species